rnacentral:lncRNA from 1 species
UCAUAAGAAUUAGUAACAGCAAGAGUAUUCGGAUCAAGCGUAACAAUUCCGCCGCUCGAAAUACAAAGGAUCCUCUUAUAACGACCUCUCCACGAAUGUUUAACAACAAGAUACCUAGCAAGAUACUCCGGCUCUUCCACAGCACCGGUUGUUGAAGCAACGGUACCUCUAGAGACGGAAUCCAUAGUGCGAUCAGAUCCGACGGUGUUCACAGAAUCGAGAAACUGUAACGUGUUGUUUCGUGGAGGAUUACCAAGAAGAGGUCGUAGAAAAUCCCAGAAUCCUACCCUGGAAUGAUCGGAAACGCCAGGAUAAUGGCGGAGGUGAGACUGAUUCGCCCCCAGUUCUUAACUUGGUUAUAGCAAAAGCCACCGGGGCUAGAAGAUCGUUUUGCAACAAUCGGAUCCAAAAUCGGAAGCUUAAACCCUAAUUUUCAUAUGCAAGAAAACCUCGGGAAGAAGAUGACUGCGAUGGAUUUCUUCUUGAAUACGAAAUUUGGUGAAGGAUCAGAGAAGAGAAAUGAAGCAAAAAUUCGAUCUGAGAUUGGGAGAGAAAGAGUCGUGAAUUUUUGUGAUGUUGUUGUUGUUAUUGGUUUUUACAGUCUGACGACUUUCUUUGUUUGAGAGGGUUAAAGGCUAAAGGCCAUUUUUGUUGAUUCGGUGUCUCUCCGGUGUAUUCAUCAUCAAUUUUUUUUCCUUUAAUUUAACAAGGAUUACAGAUAUUGUGUCAAAAUGAAAUUGUGUAGAUAUUUCUUUGGCUCUUUCAACAAAAGAAUUAGCACGUAUAUUAAAAUAAUGUGAAAAUUAAAAAUUUUAAAAACGCUUCUCCCCUUUGCUCCUAUUUUUUAGAGUGAUUUUGUGCAAAGAAAAAAAUGAAGUAUGAAAUUAGGAGAAAAAUACUAAAAAUGUUUGUUUUUAACAAAAUACAAAUAACGGUGGAAAAGGGCUUGAAGUUGCGGAGUUAUUACAGAAAACCUAUCAAUUGUUUUGUUCCUGUGAGUGAAGGGAGAUAUUUGACGUUAUGAAAAACCGAAAGAACAAUCUGACAUUUAAGAAAUACUGACAGUUGAAAUGAGUGUUAUCCGGCAAUAGACAGAAAGAAGUGACGGUCAUUAAAUACAACCACCUUUAAUUUGAACUCUCUCAAAUUUUGAUGUGGGACGAAAACAUUAAGCGGGAUGCAAAAAAUUUAAAGACCUAACUUAGUGGUGUGGACACCCAAUAAAUAGUCUGUCGGUAGUAGUAAAACGUAGAGCCAUAAAAAGUGAAAGAAAAAGAAAACACAAACUCCAAAACAACACAGUCCUAGUUAACAUCAUGAGUAGAUAGAUAAGAAAUCGACCAACCUAAUCAGUAAACAUAGAUAUUCUAUUUUACUUGAAAAAACUUAAUCAAAUGUUCUAGUUCAGUUAUUGUUUGUUGUGUGUAUUACAAGGGUUUCCGAUGGAGGUUACGAACGAGUUAAUCAGCGACCUUGUACGUGUUCUACUUGGGGGUAAAGAUGACGACAUGGUUUGGAGUUUCACGGCGGUGAAGGACAGAGUUGGCAAAUGCAUACGGUUUAGAGAAGGCGAUGGAGUUGAAACAACAAAGACAAAAGUCAUUGGUGAACUAAACAUAGAUCGAACGAGUGAAAAGGUGGAGCUAACGUAUGAGAUGCCAGAGUGGAUGGACAUAGACUGAUCGGUUAAACCCGUUCCAAUCCACAUCGUGAUUGACGACGACAUGGGCCUAUUCCUUGCAAUGCGGGUGGAUAUCCAUGAAAUGAAGCUCUAUGUCGUCCCCAUGCCGCUUAACAUGACACUUGAGAUUGACGGGUUCAAGGUAGUGCCUAUCAUGGACGAUUUCUCCUUUGCAGAAGUAAUGAGCAAGGCAGAGAUCGAAAGAGAAAAGAAGCGGCGAGAGGACAAGGAGGCAGUAGACAACAUCAUAUGCACACAACUUCCACCAGAACAUGUAGCGGACAACGAAAAUGGUUUACUUGGCUGGGUAGGGCAUUCAUACACAUAUGGGGGAUUUGUGAUGCUGUCAGCAGCAUUGAGAAACAACAAAGUUGUAUCCCAAGCGGGACGGGAAAAUGGCUUUCCAGUGAGUGUGAUGAACCCGGAUGGUAGAUCCUCUACAGAUAAUAACAAUAACCGGGUUACUCGAUUGACGAGAUAUCUAUUCACUAAGUUCGAGAAAGGUUGAAAUUUCAUAACUCACUAAUUAAUCAUGUAGACAUGAAUAAUAACAUGUGGAUAUCUAAAUACAUGUUAUGGUUUACAUGAAUAGCUGGAAACUCAAGCGAGGAAAGAGGAAGCCAGACCGAUACACAAAUUCAUGCAACAAGUCUAGGAGAUGUGUCACCGCCUAGAGGUGGUAAGUAUAUAUAGACUAUAUGGACAAAUAUGUAGUAUAUGAAAAAUAAUGACAUAUGAACUAAUGGUAACAAACAAAAAUGACACUUGUAUAGAAGGUGUGCUUAUGGCUAACUUCAACACCAACCACACAAUUGUGCCACCUGUCGCAUGGAUGCUUUGUUUGCUUGAUAUACCAGCAAACAUAUCCGGGACGCAGCACCGGUGGUUGAUAACACUGACCCAGAUGGUAAGAGAUCAAACGAAAUGUAGAGGUCUACGUUUUGAAAUAAAUGUUUAUAAUAAGUUGUGAAUAUUUAAGAGUUAACAACAAUUGUUAUAUGUGAAUAGGUGGUGACAGACAGGAUUGGUCAUGUUUGAUGUGGUUUACGAAGGGGAUGGACUGUUUGUUGGGCGGGUGUUCAAGAAUAAAGACAACUGUAAAGUCAAGAUCGUCGUACAUGCAAUCAACAGGAAGUUUAGCUUUCGUAACAACCGCACGACAAAUGACGUGGUCAUUGUUUGGUGCAUCUUUGAUGCUUGCUACUGGAGAAUCUACUAUGUACGAUUAGAAGACAUAGAAUAUUUCGAAAUCUGGACAAAGAGGGACUGCAACAAGCCGGCUGAUAUUUUAGCAAAGCAGAACAUUCCUAAUAACGCCUCUUUUCAAUCUUAUUUCUUUGCUCCUAUUUCUAUUCUACAAGCAUUACAUUGUGAUCACAUUCGUCGUUUCGACAAUUAAAUAAAGCUGAUGUUACAAAAAAAAAUAGGACACAUUCCAAUAAUUUAAAGACCAAAAUACAAUGAGACUCCUUAAUUACCUUAUUGAUACCGAGAUCUACUGGCCACAUUCCAAUCAAGUUUACAUAGUUGAUUACCAUUUAAGCAUAGAGUAUUAGGUUAAUUGUUGGAAGUUAUGUUUUCAUUAGCAUAAAGACCCCCACGACACAAUCUUAAACAUAAGUUCAUAACCCUAAUAGAAAAGGAAAACACUUGACGGCACUUGGAAGAUCUGGAGUGGAUAUUCUCGAAUUAGAGACAACAUAUGACUCAAAAACGAGAUGAUGGAUUGAAUAACGCCACAAAAGGAUGUGGAAAAACCUUUUGAUAAGUCGUAAAACGAUCAAGAUUCAUAAUCCUACCCUAGAAUGAUCGGAAACGCCAGGAUAAUGGCGGAGGUGAGACUGAUUCGCCCCAGUUCUUAACUUGGUUAUA